AGUCAUAUGCUUGUCUCAAAGAUUAAGCCAUGCAUGCCUAAGUACACAUACUAGUAUUAUGAAACCGUAUACGGCUCAUUAUAACAGCUAUUAUUUAAGGGAGUUAUGAUUAACCAUGGAUAACUGUGGUAAUUCUAGAGCUAAUACAUUCCUUUUAACUACGACUCACGAAGUAGUGGAUUUAUUACAUCAAAACCAAUUGUACUUCGGUACAGGUUAGAUGAUUCUGGAUAACUUUCCUAAUCGUAUGGCCUCUGUGCUGACGAUGCAUCCCUUAAAGUGGCUGACCUAUCAACUGUCGUUGGUAAGUUAAAAGCUUACCAUGGUUGUAACGGGUAACGGGGAAUCAGUGUUCGAUUCCGGAGAGGGAGCCUGAGAAACGGCUACCACAUCUACGGAUGGCAGCAGGCGCGCAACAUGCCCAAUGCUUGAAAAGCGAGGCUGUGAGGAUAAAUAACAAUAUGAACCCUUCGGGUAUCAUAAUUGCAAUGAGAUCAGUGUAAAUACUUUACCGAGAAACAAUUGGAGGGCAAGUAUGGUGCCAGCAGCCGCGGUAAUUCCAUCUCCAAUAGUGUAUAUUAAAGUUGUUGCAGUUAAAAAGCUCGUAGUCUAAAUUGGGGUGUGUAGCGGAAUCAUGGGCUUUGCUCAAUAUCAGUUACCACCUUCCCAGUCGUGUACAGUACCGGUGCCUUCUUUAGGUGUUGGUAAUGGUCGGCAAGUUUACUUUGAAUAAAUUAGAGUGCUUAACGCAGGCUUUUGCUUGUAUAUUGUUGCAUGGAAUAAUGGAAUAGGACUUUGGUUCUAUUUUGUUGGUUUUAGGAACCGAAGUAAUGAUUGAUAGAGACAGCCGGGGGCAUACGUACGCUGGUGUGAGAGGUGAAAUUCUGACAUCAUCAGCAGACGAACAACUGCGAAAGCAUUUGCCAAGAAUGUUUUCUUUGAUCAAGAACGAAAGUCAGAGGAUCGAAGACGAUCAGAUACCGUCCUAGUUCUGACCAUAAACUAUGCCAACUGACGGUUCGCUAAGGCAACUAUUUACGCCUUGCGAGAAGUCACCGGGAAACCAAAGUCUAUGGGUUCCGGGGGAAGUAUGGUUGCAAAGCUGAAACUUAAAGGAAUUGACGGAAGGGCACCACCAGGAGUGGAGCUUGCGGCUUAAUUUGACUCAACACGGGAAAUCUCACCCGGUCCGGACACUGUGAGGAUUGACAGAUUGAUAGCUCUUUCAUGAUUCGGUGGGUGGUGGUGCAUGGCCGUUCUUAGUUGGUGGAUUGAUUUGUCUGGUUAAUUCCGAUAACGAACGAGACUCUAACCUACUAAUUAGUACAUAAGUGACUUCUAUAGCUUAUGCCGACUUCUUAGAGGAAUUAGUGACGUUUAGUCAAAUGAAAUGGAGCAAUAACAGGUCUGUGAUGCCCUUAGAUGUCCGGGGCCGCACGCGUGCUACAAUGGCAGUACCAGCGAGUAUUUAUCCUAGCCAGAAAUGGUCGGGUACACUGUAAAUUACUGUCAUAUCUGGAAUAGUGGUUUGCAAUUAUUCCACUUAAACGAGGAAUUCCUAGUAAGUACAAGUCACUAGCUUGUGCUGAUUACGUCCCUGCCCUUUGUACACACCGCCCGUCGCUACUACCGAUUGAAUGUUUAAAUGAGAUUGUUGGAUUUGAUUCUAUGUUGCUUUCGGGUAACUAAGAAUUGGAGAAGACACUCUAAUUUGAUUGUUUAGAGGAAGUAAAAGUCGUAACAAG
rnacentral:rRNA from 1 species